CUGAAAAUAUCAGAGAUAUUGCUGCUGUUGUCAACAUUGCUACUGAUCAAAGGCAAGGAUUUCUGAAGAGAAAAACAUAUUUGAGAAGUGAAGAACAGGGUUGGCAGUCUCUUCAGUAUUAUUUGAUAUCUAGAUUUCUGUCCCAGACUGCUGAGCCAAGGUAACCACAAGGAUGAUGGGGAAUUGGUUUGAGAAGAGGAUUGUUUCAGAACUUGGAAGUGAUCCCGGACAAUUCCAGAGACUCAUGAUGAAAAAUGCCAUCUGCCUUCCAAGAAAGAACUAGAGUCUGAAGGCAGAAUGAAACAUACUAUAUUUCAUUUUCUUUAUU
rnacentral:lncRNA from 1 species